AUUUCUGAUCUGUGUAAGUAACAGACACUUCACUUCAGCAUCCAAGGAUCCACUUCAAUUUAAGAAGUUCCUAGUCUAUCUAUUUGACAGAGCAAUUGGCAGUUCUUUCAAGGAGGGAAGAGAAAUAGGAAAUGAGAAGAUAAUUGCAGCUGUGGAUUUAAAAAGUUUCCCUUAUAAGAGUAUUGACGCUCGUGGUUUCUCCAUCACCUUCAACCUUCUGAAGGCUUAUUAUCCCGGAAGACUAGGAAAAUGUAUAUGUUAAAUGCUCCGGGGUUCUUUGUUAGUUUCUGGAAGAUGUUUUCUGUCUUUCUAGAUAAAGAUAUCCAAGAAAACAUCAUCUUUGUGAGCAAUGAGAAAGAGAAGGAGAGUUUUAUAAAGGAAAUUGGUGAGGAGAUACUACCAGAAGAAAAUGGUGGUCGAUCAAAGCUCGUCGCUGUUCAAGAUGUCACUAUUCAUUCCCAUACCAACAAUCCCAUGAGUUAAAUACUAAUGUAUCUUAACAGUCUAUACGAGCUUCAAUGUUCACUAUUACUAUCAGAUAACCUAAUCGUGUGGUUGUCAAUCAAGGGAAUCCUUGAUAUGCAUGCAUAUGUAAUACUACAAUUUUUUUCCUUUAUGCAUCAAACGAAGAAUAAAAUGCAAAAAAAUUGUUGAUCUGUACUUAACUCAUUUCACGGUAGGAAACAUGAUCAAUUUUAUCCAAGUACC